UACGGAGGGUGCAAGCGUUAAUCGGAAUUACUGGGCGUAAAGCGUGCGUAGGCGGUUCGUUAAGUCUGUUGUGAAAGCCCCGGGCUCAACCUGGGAAUGGCAAUGGAUACUGGCGAGCUAGAGUGUGUCAGAGGAUGGUGGAAUUCCCGGUGUAGCGGUGAAAUGCGUAGAGAAUCGGGAGGAACAUCAGUGGCGAAGGCGCCAUCUGGGACAACACUGACGCUGAGGCACGAAAGCGUGGGGAGCAAACAGG
rnacentral:rRNA from 1 species